AGUUGCGAACGGCUGAGUAACACAUAGGUAACCUGCCCUUAAGUGGGGAAUAACUCUGGGAAACUGGAGUUAAUCCGCAUGUAGUCCUCAUAAGUAAAGCCGCGCUUGAGGAGGGGCCUGUGACCUAUCAGGUAGUUGGUGUGGUAAUGGCUCACCAAGCCGACGACGGGUAGCUGGUCUGAGAGGACGACCAGCCAGACGGGGACUGAGACACGGCCCCGACUCCUACGGGAGGCAGCAGCAAGGAAUCUUGCGCAAUGGGCGAAAGCCUGACGCAGCGACGCCGCGUGGGGGACGAAGACCUUCGGGUUGUAAACCCCUUUUGUGAGGGACGAAUGACGGUACCUCAUGAAUAAGUCUCGGCUAACUACGUGCCAGCAGCCGCGGUAAUACGUAGGAGGCAAGCGUUAUCCGGAUUUAUUGGGCGUAAAGAGCGCGUAGGCGGUUUAACAAGUCGGAUGUGAAAUCUCCUGGCUUAACUAGGAGGGGUCAUUCGAUAC
rnacentral:rRNA from 1 species